UUGACUCAUAUGUUAUGUUUUCCAUUCCCUAUUCUUGUAUGAUUAUUCCCUUUAUAGGUAGCUACCUUCCCUAGUCGGUUACUCGCUGCAAAACAUACUCCUUCGUUUCAAAACAAACUAUCCCCACGCGUAGUAACUAAACUGGACUUUACUUCUCGCAACACUAGCACCUGAUACUGUGCGCGUACCAGACUCAGCCCCGACCUCUCCUCUCAAGUCACUUCUUGUCUUCCCCACCGGAUUCUGUAGUUGAUGCCGACUUUCCUGCUCAAGCUUCUUUUCUUCUCUUGUAAACUUAUAGCUUGCUGCCCUGAACCCUGCUUGAAUGCCAUCUUAUCUACCCCAAACUUCAAGGAAGCUGUGUAAACCCAUGGAUCUCUCUACUUUGAGCUACAGCCCACUUAACCGUGUUGUCGGCCUUAAUAGCCUCUUACUCUCACAGGAACAGGCAAUUCCUAUCUUUCUCCCUUGUCGUCAACUACAGGAAUAUCAACUCCUUUUCCUUCCCCUCCAGCAGGAAUAUCAACUCCUUUUCCUUCCCCUCUAGUUAGUGCAACAAAUCAUUCUUAAACUGUCACACAUAUACUUAUAUUAUUUAUUACUUCUUCUACAUAUACUUAUAUUAUUUAUUACUUCUUCUAUUAGGCUAGGCAUUGGCAUCAGAUCUUGAAACGGAAACGGAUUAUUCUCUUACCGACCUAACCUAUACUUAAAGUGUUGAACCGACAACACCAAUAUACUGAACUCGAACAACAAGUGAUCUAUUUACUACUCUGGAGGGGCGGACAGUUGCUUCUUCUUCCUCUGAUUCUCUCGAUCCCACUCUAUUACUAUAUGCUGAGUGGCGGUAAGUCUUAGUAGUUUCUUGUCUCCUUUAUUACCAUCGGCACCAAAAGAGACUACUUUCCUAGCGGAGAUUUGAGAAGCACUCAACCAGUAGACGUCAAGCCAAGAACUCCACUUUCCAAA
rnacentral:lncRNA from 1 species